GAUGAACGCUGGCGGCGUGCUUAACACGUGCAAGUCGAACGGAAAGGCUCCUGCUUGCAGGGGUACUCGAGUGGCGAACGGGUGAGUAACACGUGGGUGAUCUGCCCUGCACUUCGGGAUAAGCCUGGGAAACUGGGUCUAAUACCGGAUAGGACGAUGGUUUGGAUGCCAUUGUGGAAAGUUUUUUCGGUGUGGGAUGAGCUCGCGGCCUAUCAGCUUGUUGGUGGGGUAAUGGCCUACCAAGGCGUCGACGGGUAGCCGGCCUGAGAGGGUGUACGGCCACAUUGGGACUGAGAUACGGCCCAGACUCCUACGGGAGGCAGCAGUGGGGAAUAUUGCACAAUGGGCGCAAGCCUGAUGCAGCGACGCCGCGUGGGGGAUGACGGCCUUCGGGUUGUAAACUCCUUUCGCUAGGGACGAAGCGCAAGUGACGGUACCUGGAGAGGAAGCACCGGCUAACUACGUG
rnacentral:rRNA from 1 species